UACAGAGGUCUCAAGCGUUGUUCGGAUUCAUUGGGCGUAAAGGGUGCGUAGGCGGCGCGGUAAGUCGGGUGUGAAAUCUCGGAGCUUAACUCCGAAACUGCAUUCGAUACUGCCGUGCUUGAGGACUGGAGACGAGACUGGAAUUUACGGUGUAGCGGUGAAAUGCGUAGAUAUCGUAAGGAAGACCAGUGGCGAAGGCGGGUCUCUGGACAGUUCCUGACGCUGAGGCACGAAGGUCAGGGGAGCAAACGGG
rnacentral:rRNA from 1 species